ensembl:antisense Mecomos MDS1 and EVI1 complex locus, opposite strand
CAAUGCUUUCUCUCCACGGCACAGUGGCAAUGUGGGAAGUGGUCAGACUUUCACCUAAGCUUAAGUGAGACACAGAUCUACUGCCCAACCUUCUGCAGGACCUUGUCAUUGAAAUGCAGACCUAUCCCAGUGUGAGGGAAUCGUAUGAAGCACUAAACGAUAAAGAAAAGCUUCGGGACACUCUCCAUCUACAGAUGCCUGAAUUAAACAUGAAGAAUUCCUCCUACUGAGUUUUUGACAUUGGAGUCAUGUAUUGGCCUGCUUAGAGCCAUCUAGUCACUGGACUAAGUGGACAUUAAAUCAGACGGCAUACAAAGUUACAGGAAUUUUAUCUGUAGAUAAACCACACACCUUGAGGAACUAACACAGUUCCAGAUGAAUCAACUCUGCACACUGAGGAGCAGAAGUUCCCUGCAGCAACCACACAAUCAUCUCUACACAGAGCACCAACUGCCACAAUUAACUUAUGCCGUGAUAAACUUACAGUCUAUUGGAAAUGCUGAGCUCCGGGUAGAGGCAUACACUAAAGCAAGAGGAGGUGGGUGCUGGUAGGGUGCCUGUCUUCUCAGUACAUGGAAGGUAGAAGAGAACGUAAGGCUUUAGAGACUAGCCUUAGACACGUAGCAGCUUAGAGGUGACACGGGACAGGGGCUAUAGGGGAAUUGUUCCACUAUUUACACCUGUUAAACAGCUAAGACUCAGUUAGGGGUUAAAUUCUUAUCUAUGAUCUAAUGAAAUAUUUGUGUCCAUUCUAUAUUGAUAAUCCUAAAAUUCCAUUUUAUCGUCUCUGUGACUGCAGCCAGGCAUGCUAAAUAAAAUCUCUGCAGAGGCAGAAAA